CCUACUGUUUGUGUGGAAGUAUGUGUGUAGGAUACCUACUGUUUGUGUGGAUGUAUGUGCGUAAGUAAGGAGCAAGUAUAAAAUGGAUGUUUUUGUAUAAUGGACUGGAGAACAUUCCCGUGAAUAAACAUUUUGACUAUUGUAAGUUGGGACUCUUGUCUGUUUCAUUCAACCAGAAUCUUACAAACUCUGGGUUGCAGACUGAGUAGAUUAAUUGAAGUUUAUGAACAUUGAUAACAAAAUUGUCAUACCAGUUUGAUCUCUGUCUCUGUAGGGGCAGCAGGUUAUGAGAGUGUGCUGCCGACGGGACCGGACAUUGCUCAGUUCAAACAGGGGGUGAAGACUGUGGCGGGCAAGAUGGCCGUGCUGGCCAACGGCGUCAUGAACACCAUACAGGAUCGCUAUGGCGCUUACUGAAGAGACCAGGACGACCAACACCCAGCUGCAGGGGGAGAGGGAGCCAUGACGUCAUACUGACAGAGAGUGGAGGGGAGGGGGGACAGAGCACAUCACUACUGACUGGUAUCUGUAGUGAGAGAAGGGAAGAGAGAUUGCAUGAAUGGAGGGAGACCCUACACCGUGUCUGUUCAUCCACCUUUUAGAGUGAGACAAAGUUUUAUUUUCAGCGAAGAAAGCUCUGGAAGGUGUAAAGUUUUUUUUUUUUUUCUGUUCUAACUCGUCUUGUUUUCUAUACUGUUUUGGUCUCUGAUUUCAAACAAAAUAUUAAUGCUAUAAAGUAUUCUCUCAGAAUGAUAUGAUAACCAA